ensembl:misc_RNA Metazoa_SRP Metazoan signal recognition particle RNA
GCUGGGCACGGUGGCGCGUGCCUGUAAUCCCAGCUACUCAGGAGGCUGAGGCAGGAGAAUUGCCUGAACCCAGGAGGUGGAGGUUGCAGUGAGCCGAGAUCACGCCAUUGCACUCCAGCCUGGGUAACAAGAGCAAAACUCUGUCUCAA